CCCCAAAUAAUUGUAGCUCAGAAACAAUAUUGAAGUUCAUUGGUAAAAUUGGUAAAAUUUUGAAAUGUUGAUGUUUUUUGUGUUGAUUGUGCUCAUUUUGACCUAUGUUACUAUUGCUUUCUACCAUGUUCAAUUCACCAUUGUUCUGCACAUACGUGCUUGCAUGUGUCCAGUGGUUAUAUUCAUGAGGCAUUCAAGGGACUUGUACUAAAAGAUACAACUCAGUUCACUAUGAAUUGCAUAUUUUAAUGGCUGAAAAUAUAUCUGAUCUCUUUCAGAACAUCACCUGUCUGUAAUCCACCUGCGUAAGUUCUGGUCAAGGGGUCAUCGGCUAUCAAGUUAUAGAUUUCAGUGGCUAAUAGAAGACACUGCUGAGGUCAGACGAGAGUGCAUCCUCAAAUGUCUGUGUGUACCUAAAUGAAGAUCCAGAGAAGCUGGUGAGGGAGUACAUGGACGUUGAUGAAUGAAAUGGCCAAAGCCGAGACUGUCCUCGGAAUCGUCAUUUGAGCAGAGGCUGCCGAUGCACAUCUGGAUGUUGGGAUUGUCCUGGAGGAGGUGGAAGUUAUGAACAGCUUGGGCAGUGUAUCUUCUGCAAUAGUGAUGCUGCUGGGACUAAUCUACGCACUAAACUUGAGCUACCCUCAAGUUUAGUGCGUUCAGCACUCAACUUGCUCAGUAACUCAAGCAUACCUUUGAAGUAAUACAGGAAAUAAUAAUGAAAUUGGAUGGAAAGAACUUAUCAAAGAAAGCACAAGUUCUCAAUAUGAAACUCGCUGCUAAGUUGAGUAAAGUUUCAUAUGGAAAAUGAGUGUUUAAAGUCUGCAGUAGAAAAGAUUUAUAUUGUUACAGUUCUCUAAGUUGAGCAACUAUACUGACAUGUUUUAUGUUGUAAAGAAUUGGCUGGGAAAUGAAACUGUAACCUUUUUGUAGUGUUUUUUUUAUUUCAAUGUCCAACUCAGCUGUGUUUUGUGCUGUGUAAAAAAACGAUGUAUAACAAUUCUGAAAAUACAAUUGUGUUGUACCUUU